AGGUAUUGUAGCUCGUUGAAGAGCCAUUGGCAUACAUCUUCUUACCUUGAAGUCCUAGAAUAUGUAUCGGUAUCGUAUUACAUGAAAUUUGGCUUGAAAAUGCACCAGACACCUGUCUGUAGAAGAUAAAAUAAAAAUUGCAUCAAUAAGUCCUAACAACUUUAAAAGAUUCUUAAAUAAAUUCUAAUCAAAUCCUACACAAAUCCUAAUGAAAUUCUAAAUUAAUCCUAGUCAAUAAAUCUUAGAAAAAUCUUAAUCAAAUCUUGAACUUAACCAAACCUUAAAUCAAAUCCAAAUUCUAAUCCUAACUCUAAACCAAAUCCUAAAUCCUAACCAAAUCCUAAUAGAACUCUAAUCAAUCCCAAGUAGUUCCUAUAGCAGAUUUAAACCUUAAUAACUAAUGAAUAAAUUUCUGAUUUUAAAUCAAAAUUUAAACACUUCUUAAUAAUUAAAUUGAUAAAAAGUACAAAAAAUUUGAAGAAGAUU
rnacentral:lncRNA from 1 species